GGGAAACGAAGUGGGAAGGCUCAGACAGCCAGGAUGUUGGCUUAUAAGCAGCCAUCAUUUAAAGAAAGCGUAAUAGCUCACUGGUCGAGUCGGCCUGCGCGGAAGAUGUAACGGGGCUAAACCAUGCACCGAAGCUGCGGCAGCGACAUGUAAAUGUUGUUGGGUAGGGGAGCGUUCUGUAAGCCUGUGAAGGUGUGCUGCGAGGCAUGCUGGAGGUAUCAGAAGUGCGAAUGCUGACAUAAGUAACGAUAAUGCGGGUGAAAAACCCGCACGCCGGAAGACCAAGGGUUCCUGUCCAACGUUAAUCGGGGCAGGGUGAGUCGACCCCUAAGGCGAGGCAGAAAUGCGUAGUCGAUGGGAAACAGGUUAAUAUUCCUGUACUGGUGAUAAUUGCGAUGGGGGGACGGAGAAGGCUAGGCUGGCCGGGCGACGGUUGUCCCGGUUUAAGGAUGUAGGUGGGUGAAUUAGGCAAAUCCGGUUCGCUAUACACUGAGGUCUGAUGACGAGUCACUACGGUGGCGAAGUAGCUCAUGCCCCGCUUCCAGGAAAAGCCUCUAAGCUCUAGAUUAUCAUUAAUCGUACCCCAAACCGACACAGGUGGUCAGGUAGAGAAUACUCAGGCGCUUGAGAGAACUCGGGUGAAGGAACUAGGCAAAAUGGUGCCGUAACUUCGGGAGAAGGCACGCUGGCAUUAGGUGAAGUGGUUUACCCAUGGAGCUGAAGCCAGUCGCAGAUACCAGCUGGCUGCAACUGUUUAUUAAAAACACAGCACUGUGCAAACACGAAAGUGGACGUAUACGGUGUGACGCCUGCCCGGUGCUGGAAGGUUAAUUGAUGGGGUUAUCCGUAAGGAGAAGCUCUUGAUCGAAGCCCCAGUAAACGGCGGCCGUAACUAUAACGGUCCUAAGGUAGCGAAAUUCCUUGUCGGGUAAGUUCCGACCUGCACGAAUGGCGUAAUGAUGGCCAGGCUGUCUCCACCCGAGACUCAGUGAAAUUGAACUCGCUGUGAAGAUGCAGUGUACCCGCGGCAAGACGGAAAGACCCCGUGAACCUUUACUAUAGCUUGACACUGAACAUUGAGCCUUGAUGUGUAGGAUAGGUGGGAGGCUUUGAAGUGUGGACGCCAGUCUGCAUGGAGCCAACCUUGAAAUACCACCCUUUAAUGUUUGAUGUUCUAACGUUGCCCCAUAAUCUGGGGUGCGGACAGUGUCUGGUGGGUAGUUUGACUGGGGCGGUCUCCUCCCAAAGCGUAACGGAGGAGCACGAAGGUUGGCUAAGCAUGGUCGGACAUCAUGCGGUUAGUGCAAAGGCAUAAGCCAGCUUGACUGCGAGAGUGACGGCUCGAGCAGGUACGAAAGUAGGUCUUAGUGAUCCGGUGGUUCUGAAUGGAAGGGCCAUCGCUCAACGGAUAAAAGGUACUCCGGGGAUAACAGGCUGAUACCGCCCAAGAGUUCAUAUCGACGGCGGUGUUUGGCACCUCGAUGUCGGCUCAUCACAUCCUGGGGCUGAAGUAGGUCCCAAGGGUAUGGCUGUUCGCCAUUUAAAGUGGUACGCGAGCUGGGUUUAGAACGUCGUGAGACAGUUCGGUCCCUAUCUGCCGUGGGCGUUGGAAGAUUGAAAGGGGCUGCUCCUAGUACGAGAGGACCGGAGUGGACGCACCGCUGGUGUUCGGGUUGUCAUGCCAAUGGCACUGCCCGGUAGCUAAGUGCGGAAGAGAUAACCGCUGAAAGCAUCUAAGCGGGAAACUUGCCUUGAGAUGAGUCUUCCCUGACUCUUUAAGGGUCCUAAAGGAACGUUUAAGACGAAGACGUUGAUAGGCUGGGUGUGUAAGCGUAGCGAUACGUUGAGCUAACCAGUACUAAUGAACCGUGAGGCUUAACCUG
rnacentral:rRNA from 1 species